rnacentral:rRNA from 1 species
UACGUAGGGGGCAAGCGUUAUCCGGAUUCACUGGGUGUAAAGGGAGCGUAGACGGCGACGCAAGUCUGGAGUGAAAGCCCGGGGCCCAACCCCGGGACUGCUCUGGAAACUGCGGCGCUGGAGUACGGGAGGGGCAGGCGGAAUUCCUGGUGUAGCGGUGAAAUGCGUAGAUAUAUGGAGGAACACCGGUGGCGAAAGCGGCUCUUUGGCCUGUAACUGACACUGAGGCUCGAAAGCGUGGGGAGCAAACAGG